rnacentral:rRNA from 2 species
AGUCGAACGAACUCUGGUAUUGAUUGGUGCUUGCAUCAUGAUUUACAUUUGAGUGAGUGGCGAACUGGUGAGUAACACGUGGGAAACCUGCCCAGAAGCGGGGGAUAACACCUGGAAACAGAUGCUAAUACCGCAUAACAACUUGGACCGCAUGGUCCGAGUUUGAAAGAUGGCUUCGGCUAUCACUUUUGGAUGGUCCCGCGGCGUAUUAGCUAGAUGGUGGGGUAACGGCUCACCAUGGCAAUGAUACGUAGCCGACCUGAGAGGGUAAUCGGCCACAUUGGGACUGAGACACGGCCCAAACUCCUACGGGAGGCAGCAGUAGGGAAUCUUCCACAAUGGACGAAAGUCUGAUGGAGCAACGCCGCGUGAGUGAAGAAGGGUUUCGGCUCGUAAAACUCUGUUGUUAAAGAAGAACAUAUCUGAGAGUAACUGUUCAGGUAUUGACGGUAUUUAACCAGAAAGCCACGGCUAACUACGUGCCAGCAGCCGCGGUAAUACGUAGGUGGCAAGCGUUGUCCGGAUUUAUUGGGCGUAAAGCGAGCGCAGGCGGUUUUUUAAGUCUGAUGUGAAAGCCUUCGGCUCAACCGAAGAAGUGCAUCGGAAACUGGGAAACUUGAGUGCAGAAGAGGACAGUGGAACUCCAUGUGUAGCGGUGAAAUGCGUAGAUAUAUGGAAGAACACCAGUGGCGAAGGCGGCUGUCUGGUCUGUAACUGACGCUGAGGCUCGAAAGUAUGGGUAGCAAACAGGAUUAGAUACCCUGGUAGUCCAUACCGUAAACGAUGAAUGCUAAGUGUUGGAGGGUUUCCGCCCUUCAGUGCUGCAGCUAACGCAUUAAGCAUUCCGCCUGGGGAGUACGGCCGCAAGGCUGAAACUCAAAGGAAUUGACGGGGGCCCGCACAAGCGGUGGAGCAUGUGGUUUAAUUCGAAGCUACGCGAAGAACCUUACCAGGUCUUGACAUACUAUGCAAAUCUAAGAGAUUAGACGUUCCCUUCGGGGACAUGGAUACAGGUGGUGCAUGGUUGUCGUCAGCUCGUGUCGUGAGAUGUUGGGUUAAGUCCCGCAACGAGCGCAACCCUUAUUAUCAGUUGCCAGCAUUAAGUUGGGCACUCUGGUGAGACUGCCGGUGACAAACCGGAGGAAGGUGGGGAUGACGUCAAAUCAUCAUGCCCCUUAUGACCUGGGCUACACACGUGCUACAAUGGAUGGUACAACGAGUUGCGAACUCGCGAGAGUAAGCUAAUCUCUUAAAGCCAUUCUCAGUUCGGAUUGUAGGCUGCAACUCGCCUACAUGAAGUCGGAAUCGCUUGUAAUCGCGGAUCAGCA